UGCGUACUCCCUCCGUCCGGAAAUACUUGUCGGAGAAAUGGAUGUAUCUAGACAUGUUUUAGUUCUAGAUACACCCAUUUUUAUCCAUUUUUUCGACAAGUAUUUUCGGACGGAGGGAGUACAAU
rnacentral:pre_miRNA from 1 species